rnacentral:rRNA from 1 species
GAUGAACGCUGGCGGCGUGCCUAAUACAUGCAAGUCGAGCGAACAGACGAGGAGCUUGCUCCUCUGACGUUAGCGGCGGACGGGUGAGUAACACGUGGAUAACCUACCUAUAAGACUGGGAUAACUUCGGGAAACCGGAGCUAAUACUGGAUAAUAUAUUGAACCGCAUGGUUCAAUAGUGAAAGACGGUUUUGCUGUCACUUAUAGAUGGAUCCGCGCCGCAUUAGCUAGUUGGUAAGGUAACGGCUUACCAAGGCGACGAUCCGUAGCCGACCUGAGAGGAUGAUCGGCCACACUGGAACUGAGACACGGUCCAGACUCCUACGGGAGGCAGCAGUGGGGAAUCUUCGGCAAAGGGCGAAAGCCUGACGGAGCAACGCCGCGUGGGUGAAGAAGGCCUUCGGAUCGUAAAGCCCUUUUAUUGGGAAAGAACAGAUGUAUAUUAAUACCUGCCCGUUUUGACGGUACCUAAUCAGAAAGCCACGGCUAACUUCGUG